rnacentral:rRNA from 1 species
GAUGAGCGCUGGCGGCGUGCCUAACACAUGCAAGUCGAGCGAACCCUUCGGGGUGAGCGGCGGACGGGUGAGUAACGCGUGGGUAACCUGCCCUAUACACACGGAUAACGUACCGAAAGGUACGCUAAUACGGGAUAAAGUUGUUGGAUGGCAUCUUCUAACAAUCAAAGCUCCGGCGGUAUAGGAUGGACCCGCGUCUGAUUAGCUAGUUGGUGAGGUAAUAGCUCACCAAGGAGACGAUCAGUAGCCGACCUGAGAGGGUGAUCGGCCACACUGGAACUGAGACACGGUCCAGACUCCUACGGGAGGCAGCAGUGGGGAAUAUUGCACAAUGGGCGAAAGCCUGAUGCAGCAACGCCGCGUGAGCGAUGAAGGUCUUCGGAUCGUAAAGCUCUGUCCUCAAGGAAGAUAAUGACGGUACUUGAGGAGGAAGCCCCGGCUAACUACGUGCCAGCCGCCGCAGUAACAC